UACGGGGGGGGCAAGCGUUGUUCGGAAUUACUGGGCGUAAAGGGCUCGUAGGCGGCCAACUAAGUCAGACGUGAAAUCCCCCGGCUUAACCCGGGAACUGCGUCUGAUACUGGAUGGCUUGAGUUUGGGAGAGGGAUGCGGAAUUCCAGGUGUAGCGGUGAAAUGCGUAGAUAUCUGGAGGAACACCGGUGGCGAAGGCGACAUCCUGGACCAACACUGACGCUGAGUGAGCGAAAGCCAGGGGAGCAAACGGG
rnacentral:rRNA from 1 species